ensembl:lincRNA
GUCUCCAUGCUACCUCAUGGGUCCCAUGUGCAAAUUCAGAGGGAGUUAGAAUGAAACCUGCAGUGGAAAUUCAGGCUCUGACGUCAGCAACCUCGUUUUGCAAAAGCUCCAGUUGGCCACCUUGGUUCCAACUGAUUUCAGCCGGCUUUUCUUGAUCUCACAAGCAGAGGGAGUUUCAGUGUUUCAGCGAGUUGGUUUUUUUCUUAUCUGCUACUCUGCAAACACAAGAAUUUCUGUUAGCUACUAGUUUCUUACUCUUUGGAGUGCCGUUUCAGUUUCAGCUUUUCACCAAGUUGUUUCUUAUCCGCUACCCUGUAAGCCCAAGAAUUUAGUCAUUGGUUUCUUUAACGGUUGGAGGAGGCAGGGUGUCAGCACCCAUCUGCCCCCAGUAGUGGGGACAAUUGACCUUAGUCUUAUGUGAAGUGCCAGUAAGAUGCAGCUUAGCCCCCUCACUCCAUAGACAAUGCACUGGACUGUCUCUGCCACAGCCCAGGACUGCGUCCUGGCAUCCCUGACCAUUUCAACCCCCAUUUUAGUGUUCUUUCCUCCUCACUGCCAGAAAGCCAUUUUAGGCAGCUUGUGGGUGUUUUUUAGAAGCGAUGUGUGUGUGAGAUGAAGGAGGCUUCCCUUUGUUUUGGCUUUAAACCUGUCUGUGUAAGUGAGAGUGAGUGGAAAGCUAUGGCUCCUCUCUCCAACACUCCCAAGGCAGGCAGCCCUGACCUCCUCAAUUGCAGAUCAGAAGGGGGCCUUUGGAAAUUAUCCAGACCAGUGAAUCUCACCAUUUUUCUCCCCUGCCACAUCAUACAUGAUGGAUGAAGUCCACAUGCUUAACAGGAUUCCAUGCAUGCACUUAUUUUGAUGGAACAGCCAAAAACAUUCUGUGAGGAAGUAAUUGUCCUCAGGAAAGGGAAUAAUGGUUGCCUCGGCAUGGGGUGGAGGCCCCUGAGUGUACUCUGCCAUGAGACCCCUUCCUUCCCACUCAGGAUGUAUUUCGAAUGCAGAAUUGAAAUAUCAUGGGACCCUCUUCUCAGGGAAAGAAAGGGGGAAAUUUGA